GAUGAACGCUGGCGGCGUGCCUAAUACAUGCAAGUCGAGCGAACAGACGAGGAGCUUGCUCCUCUGACGUUAGCGGCGGACGGGUGAGUAACACGUGGAUAACCUACCUAUAAGACUGGGAUAACUUCGGGAAACCGGAGCUAAUACCGGAUAAUAUAUUGAACCGCAUGGUUCAAUAGUGAAAGACGGUUUUGCUGUCACUUAUAGAUGGAUCCGCGCCGCAUUAGCUAGUUGGUAAGGUAACGGCUUACCAAGGCGACGAUGCGUAGCCGACCUGAGAGGGUGGUCGGCCACCCUGGAACUGGGACACGGUCCAGACUCCUACGGGAGGCAGCAGUAGGGAAUCUUCCGCAAUGGGCGAAAGCCUGACGGAGCAACGCCGCGUGAGUGAUGAAGGUCUUCGGAUCGUAAAACUCUGUUAUUAGGGAAGAACAAAUGUGUAAGUAACUAUGCACGUCUUGACGGUACCUAAUCAGAAAGCCACGGCUAACUACGUG
rnacentral:rRNA from 1 species